GCCAGACUCCAGACACGUGUCAGGAGGGACUGCCCUUCUCUCUGAUGGAACCUCUAACAGAAGCUGGAACAUCAGGGGUGGAAACUGAUGCAACUGUCCCAGCAGACUCUUGAUAAAACAAUGACCACAGAACGCUCCUGUAACUCUUCAGACCGUGUUUACAGCCAAGAUGUUAAGAUGGCAACAUGGGAUAAUUUGAAGAUGAUCUGUACUAACAACAAAGAACUUCAAGUUUCAAACCUCCUUAAAAAAGUGGACUCGAUUUCCCCCCAAAAAAUGUGUGUACAUUCCUUAGUCAAGUUAAUAUAAAGUGUGAUAAUCAAUCCUCUCACCAAACAAUAGUUGCUGUUCUGUCAUUUGUCUUACUGUACACAGGAACUCAUGCAAAACUGAAACAGCAAUGUGGGUCGGUUGUUAAGGAGCUCGUAGAUCUAAAAUUUGAGCUCAGGCCACAAGAUCACAUGUACAGCAACAGAACCGAUUCUUUGAUGCAUUGUGAUCAACAAGUUAAAAAUCUGCUUAGGAGAGAUCAUUAAAUCCCAC
rnacentral:lncRNA from 1 species